UGCGCGUGAACGGUCCGGAGACGGACUUUCCCUUCGGGGCACAAAGCAAGGUGCUGCAUGGCUGUCGUCAGCUCGUGCCGUGAGGUGUUGGGUU
rnacentral:rRNA from 1 species